UUAUCACAAUAUCAUUUGAAUUGAAUUGAAUUGAAUUUCUUCUUCUUGUUGAUGAGGAAAAACAGCUGAUUCUGAGGACAGGAGGACAGGGUUGUUGGGAGAGCCAGUGCCAGCUGCUGCAGGGAGCUGAGCAGGUGACCCAGCAGCCUGGGAGAGGCCAUCCAUCCAUCCAUCCAUCCAUCCAUCCAUCCAUCCAUCCAUCCAUCCAUCCAUCCCCUAUGUGUCCAUCCAACCUUCCAUCCAUCCAUCCAUCCAUCCAUCCAUCCAUGCAUCCCCUAUCCAUCCAUCCAUCCAUCCCCUAUCCACCCACCCAUCCAUCCAUCCCCCAUCCCGUGGCAGCAGCAGCACAGCAGGCUGCAGACUAAGUGGGUCACUUGUUGCAGGCACGUGCUACCUGGGCUCACAGCAUCUUCCCAGCCUGCCUGCCGCUGCCAGAUGGAGUUUAGGAUGUUUGGCUCUCAGCUGCCAGCCCCACUGGGGACUUCCCACCUUUGCAAAGUCUUUCUCUCUCAGCCAUGAAAUAUUCCUGCGCUGAGUUCAGCAGAAGCACUCAGGCUAAAAAGGUCCUUCCUCCUGGACAGACCCUUCCUUCUAGAAAAUCA
rnacentral:lncRNA from 12 species